rnacentral:rRNA from 1 species
GCCUGCAGCCAUACGAUGUCAGCCUGUGAUCUCCUCAGGGUUCACAAGGUAAAGAGGCUGAGGCCUACUCACUACCUGGGUGGGUGACCUUCAAAGGAAACCUAGAGGGAGCAGCAGGUG